rnacentral:rRNA from 1 species
AUUGAACGCUGGCGGCAUGCUUUACACAUGCAAGUCGAACGGCAGCGCGGGCUUCGGCCUGGCGGCGAGUGGCGAACGGGUGAGUAAUGCAUCGGAACGUGCCCAGUAGUGGGGGAUAGCCCGGCGAAAGCCGGAUUAAUACCGCAUACGACCUGAGGGUGAAAGCGGGGGACCGAAAGGCCUCGCGCUAUUGGAGCGGCCGAUGUCGGAUUAGCUAGUUGGUGGGGUAAAGGCUUACCAAGGCGACGAUCCGUAGCUGGUCUGAGAGGACGGCCAGCCACACUGUGACUGAGACACGGCCCAGACUCCUACGGGAGGCAGCAGUGGGGAAUUUUGGACAAUGGGGGCAACCCUGAUCCAGCCAUGCCGCGUGCGGGAAGAAGGCCUUCGGGUUGUAAACCGCUUUUGUUCGGGAAGAAAUCCUCUGGGCUAAUACCCCGUGGGGAUGACGGUACCGGAAGAAUAAGCACCGGCUAACUACGUG